GUCUGAAACACCUAUCCACUAUAACAAGGAUUGAAAC
rfam:Epulopiscium sp. Nuni2H_MBin001 Nuni2HMBin001_62, whole genome shotgun sequence.